rnacentral:lncRNA from 1 species
ACUUCCGGAUGUUGUCAUGGCAAUGCAAGCAAACUGAAAAGGAUCCAGGCGUGCAGGAAUUGGAAGCAUUAAUAGACACAAUUCAGAAGCAACUGAAAGAUCACUCAUGCAAAGACAACAUUCGUGAGGCAUUUCAAAUUUAUGACAAGGAAGCUUCAGGAUAUGUGGACAGAGACAUGUUCUUUAAAAUCUGUGAAUCGCUUAACGUCCCAGUGGAUGACUCCUUGGUUAAGGAGUUAAUCAGGAUGUGCUCUCAUGGAGAAGGCAAAAUUAACUACUAUAACUUUGUUCGUGCUUUCUCAAACUGACCUGCUGAUGAGAAAAUGCAAGACAAUUUUUGAUACUGGAACUAUGCUUUGAAAUACACCUUACACUCUUCAUAGAGGC